rnacentral:sRNA from 1 species
GCCUAGCCCCGAUGGGAGGGAAUAUCCUUUUUAUCCUUUUUCGGGAUAAAAAGAUAGGAAGGACAGCGGGAGCAAAC